CCUUGCUUCCCACGGGGAGUGUGUGUUUUCCACAGAAAGACCAACAAAUGAAGUUGCACUCUGGAGAGGGGCUUUGCAGUCGGGUCUGGUUCUAAUCGCCAAGCAGUUCCUCGUGGUGGGGAAGCCAUGGAAGCAGGAGAUUGAAGCCGCUGGUUACAUUGCAUCCGCGGCUGGGAAGCAGAGAGAUGGACGCUGGUCCUCAGCUCACUUUCACUGAUUUAUUCAUUCUGAGACUCCAGCCCAUGGAACGGGACUGUCUGUAGUUAGAAUGGAUCCUCUCGUCUCACCCCAGGGUGGAAACCCUUCACAGCCAUGCUCGAGACUUAGCUCCUGGAUCCUGAUAGGUUGAUGGAUCCUGACAGGCUGACAGGUGACUGCAGUGAUGGGGCUAACUCCAGGUCACGAUGCUUUGUCACAUCUGGGGACACUUUUUUCAGAUUCUGCAAUACUCUGAGAUUUUCAGACCAACCUGUCGUCCCUUUCCACUGUGGGUUUCAGGAAUUGAGCUCAGGUUGCCAGGCUUGUGUGGCAAGUGCUUUUACCACAGAGUCCUCUUGUGACCCUAGCAUGCCUUUUAUGAUGGGAAGACUGACAGCUGAGGACGUUCUCUGAUGUCUUUACCGAGGAGCCACGCGAGAUCUCUGUUUUGGACUGGAAUCCUGCCUCUGCUCUUCAUUGCUUCGUGUGGAGGGGAGCAGAGAAGUGAGAGGGGCCAAGCCGAGUGGGGUCUGUGCAAUAUUAUAACUAAUGUUAAAAUCAACCAUCUGUUCUUGCUCCUUCAUCUAAUUCUUCCUGAAAGAAAAUGUCCGAAAAUAAAAUGGAUUUGA